UCAGAAAUUAAAGCAAGAUAUUGUAAUUAAAAGGCAAAAAACAAUGAAUAAUUUUUUUUAUAAUGACAGUAAAAAGAAAAAACCAACAUAAAAAAUUCAGAUUACAGUUUCUAACAAUUUAUACAAAAUCAGCUUGACAUAGCAUGGGAUUUGGCUCACGAUCAAGCAGUAAACGAAGCAUGACGAUACCACUGAAUUGACAAAUCAACAGUUUGUAAAUACAACCCUUUCAGAAACUGCUGAGCAGUUCGAUACCACUGAAAUUAUAAAAGAAUGGGUUUUUUUAUAUUAACAAAAUGCUUUUCAAAGAAUCUUCUUUUCAGCAAAACUUUUGGGUACUUUGAUUUAGAUUUAUGUAAACUCAUUUUUACAGGAGCAAAAGAGAUCUUCGUAUCUUGGAGAAGCAAAAAAAACUCACCUGUAGUGGAGUUGAUGACAGCGCUGGUGAGAGCCAAAGAACGCCGAUGAGAGAGAGGUAGGCCGGCGAGAGGAGAGGAGGUGAGAAGUGAAGAUUUUGGGAGGAUAUGGAUCUUUGAAUUUAGAUGCGUAAAACAACUUACCGAGUCAAGAAGCGGGAAAUUAGGAAAAU
rnacentral:lncRNA from 1 species